AUUGAACGCUGGCGGCAGGCUUAACACAUGCAAGUCGAGCGGGGGAAGGUAGCUUGCUACCGGACCUAGCGGCGGACGGGUGAGUAAUGCUUAGGAAUCUGCCUAUUAGUGGGGGACAACAUCUCGAAAGGGAUGCUAAUACCGCAUACGUCCUACGGGAGAAAGCAGGGGAUCUUCGGACCUUGCGCUAAUAGCUGAGCCUAAGUCGGAUUGGCUAGUUGGUGGGGUAAAGGCCUACCAAGGCGACGAUCUGUAGCGGGUCUGGGAGGAUGAUCCGCCACACUGGGACUGAGACACGGCCCAGACUCCUACGGGAGGCAGCAGUGGGGAAUAUUGGAAAAUGGGGGGAACCCUGAUCCAGCCAUGCCGCGUGUGUGAAGAAGGCCUUAUGGUUGUAAAGCACUUUAAGCGAGGAGGAGGCUACUCUAGUUAAUACCUAGGGAUAGUGGACGUUACUCGCAGAAUAAGCACCGGCUAACUCUGUGCCAGCAGCCGCCGUAA
rnacentral:rRNA from 1 species